rnacentral:rRNA from 1 species
UACGUAGGGGGCAAGCGUUGUCCGGAAUUAUUGGGCGUAAAGAGCGCGUAGGCGGUCCGGUAAGUCGGUUGUGAAAGUCGGGGGGCUCAACCCUCGGAUGCCGAUCGAUACUGUCGGGCUAGAGUCCGGAAGAGGCGAGCGGAAUUCCUGGUGUAGCGGUGAAAUGCGUAGAUAUCAGGAGGAACACCAAUAGCGAAGGCAGCUCGCUGGGACGGUACUGACGCUAAGGCGCGAAAGCGUGGGGAGCGAACAGG